rnacentral:tRNA from 1 species
UACAUUGUGGUGUAGGGCACGUAAAUUUUUGGAUUUUAAAGUAAAGGUUCGGUACCUUUCAUUGUAA